GAGCUUCGAGCGGCCCGUACCCCAAACCGACACAGGUGGUCAGGUAGAGAAUACCGAGGCGAUCGGGCGAACUAUGGUUAAGGAACUCGGCAAAUUACCCCCGUAACUUCGGGAGAAGGGGGGCCACAGACUGUCAAACUCCAUGCGGGAGGCAGCGGUAGGUGGCCGCAGAGACCAGGGGGAAGCGACUGUUUACUAAAAACACAGGUCCGUGCGAAGUCGUAAGACGAUGUAUACGGACUGACGCCUGCCCGGUGCUGGAACGUUAAGGGGACCGGUUAGUCCGCAAGGGCGAGGCUGAGAACUUAAGCGCCAGUAAACGGCGGUGGUAACUAUAACCAUCCUAAGGUAGCGAAAUUCCUUGUCGGGUAAGUUCCGACCUGCACGAAUGGCGUAACGACUUCCCUACUGUCUCAACCAUAGGCCCGGCGAAAUUGCACUACGAGUAAAGAUGCUCGUUACGCGCGGAAGGACGGAAAGACCCCGGGACCUUCACUAUAGCUUGACAUUGGUACUCGAAUUGAAUUGUGUAGGAUAGGUGGGAGACUUUGAAGCUCGGACGCCAGUUCGGGUGGAGUCAAACUUGAAAUACCACUCUGUUGAAUUUGGGUAUCUAACUUCGGACCGUGAUCCGGUUCAGGGACAGUGUCUGGUGGGUAGUUUAACUGGGGCGGUUGCCUCCUAAAAUGUAACGGAGGCGCCCAAAGGUUCCCUCAGCCUGGUUGGCAAUCAGGUGUUGAGUGCAAGUGCACAAGGGAGCUUGACUGUGAGACUGACAGGUCGAGCAGGGACAAAAGUCGGGACUAGUGAUCCGGCACCUGCGAGUGGAAGCGGUGUCGCUCAACGGAUAAAAGGUACCCCGGGGAUAACAGGCUGAUCUUCCCCAAGAGUCCAUAUCGACGGGAUGGUUUGGCACCUCGAUGUCGGCUCGUCGCAUCCUGGGGCUGGAGUAGGUCCCAAGGGUUGGGCUGUUCGCCCAUUAAAGCCGCACGCGAGCUGGGUUUAGAACGUCGUGAGACAGUUCGGUCCCUAUCCUCCGCGCGCGCAGGAGACUUGAGAAGGGCUGUCCCUAGUACGAGAGGACCGGGACGGACGAACCUCUGGUGUGCCAGUUGUCAUGCCAAUGGCACGGCUGGUUAGCUACGUUCGGAAGGGAUAACCGCUGAAAGCAUCUAAGCGGGAAGCCUGCUUCAAGAUGAGGUCUCCCACCCCUUGAGGGUUAAGGCCCCCAGCUAGACCACUGGGUUGAUAGGCCAGAAGUGUAAGCCUGGUAACAGGUUCAGCCGACUGGUACUAAUAGGCCGAGGACUUAAAAAA
rnacentral:rRNA from 1 species